GACCCAAUGGCGAAGCGGUUAACGCGCCAGCAUGCUAUUAUUUUGUAUGUAAGCUGGAGGCCCUCGUUCGAUCCGGGGUUGGUGUCC